GGGGGAAAGCAAUACUUGCAAUUUUCCUAUACCUUCAUAAUUGUUUUUCUUUUCCACAGGGCAAUGAGUGAAAUCUCAACUUGGUGAGCGGAGAAAAUCAGGAGGAAAGAAUUCUGUAACUCAACCAAGUGACUUGCAAGGAGGGCUAACUGCUCCCGGGAAAGAACUGGUCCAUUCAUUCUUCACAAGUCUUGCUGUACAUUCCCGAUAAACAUUUCUUUUUGGACUGAGGCAUUCAGGACCGAAAAGCAGAUUCCAGGUUUCCUCAAACGUUGCCGGUGAAGGUUGGCCUUCUUGGGUGAGGACCUUAUAUACGGAGGUAAGAUGGACAGCUAUAGUGUCACCACAAAUAAUUAGGAAAUCUUGGGGCUGCUCAACUGGUUGCCUGAAUCAUGGGGUACAUCUAAACUGUAGAAUGAAUGCAGUUUGACAACACUUUGACUGCCCGGGACAGCUGGAGGGCCGAAGUUUGCCCAUGGCUGCUAUAGACCUUGCCAAAGUACAACAUACUGUCAGGACCCAGGCUACGGAGCACCAAUAACCAUA
rnacentral:lncRNA from 11 species